rnacentral:rRNA from 1 species
GUAGGGCGCAAGCGUUAUCCGGAAUUAUUGGGCGUAAAGAGCUCGUAGGCGGUUUGUCGCGUCUGCUGUGAAAUCCCGAGGCUCAACCUCGGGCCUGCAGUGGGUACGGGCAGACUAGAGUGCGGUAGGGGAGAUUGGAAUUCCUGGUGUAGCGGUGGAAUGCGCAGAUAUCAGGAGGAACACCGAUGGCGAAGGCAGAUCUCUGGGCCGUAACUGACGCUGAGGAGCGAAAGGGUGGGGAGCAAACAGGCUUAGAUACCCUGGUAGUCCACCCCGUAAACGUUGGGAACUAGUUGUGGGGUCCUUUCCACGGAUUCCGUGACGCAGCUAACGCAUUAAGUUCCCCGCCUGGGGAGUACGGCCGCAAGGCUA